rnacentral:rRNA from 1 species
AGCGAACGCUGGCGGCAGGCUUAACACAUGCAAGUCGAACGGGCAUAGCAAUAUGUCAGUGGCAGACGGGUGAGUAACGCGUGGGAACGUACCUUUUGGUUCGGAACAACACAGGGAAACUUGUGCUAAUACCGGAUAAGCCCUUACGGGGAAAGCUUUAUCGCCGAAAGAUCGGCCCGCGUCUGAUUAGCUAGUUGGUAGGGUAAUGGCCUACCAAGGCGACGAUCAGUAGCUGGUCUGAGAGGAUGAUCAGCCACAUUGGGACUGAGACACGGCCCAAACUCCUACGGGAGGCAGCAGUGGGGAAUAUUGGACAAUGGGCGAAAGCCUGAUCCAGCCAUGCCGCGUGAGUGAUGAAGGCCCUAGGGUUGUAAAGCUCUUUUGUGCGGGAAGAUAAUGACGGUACCGCAAGAAUAAGCCCCGGCUAACUUCGUG